CUGGAGUUACUAGUACUCGCAGAUCAGAAUGCUGCGGUGAAUGCGUUCCCGGGUCUUGUACACACCGCCCGUCACACCACGGGAGUUGGAGACGCCCGAAGCCGAUUAUCUAACCUUUUGGAAGAAGGCGUCGAAGGUGGAAUCAAUAACUGGGGUGAAGUCGUAACAAGGUAGCCGUAUCGGAAGGUGCGGCUGGAUCACCUCCUUUCUAAGGA
rnacentral:rRNA from 1 species